GAAGACUAAGCAAUUGGAGAAAGAUUAUGAACUUCUUAAGAGACAAUUUGAUGCUAUCAAAGCUGAAAAUGAUGCUUUACAAACUCAAAAUCAAAAGCUUCAUGCAGAGAUAAUGUCACUAAAGAAUAGAGAGCAACCAACAGAAUCAAUCAAUUUGAACAAGGAAACAGAAGGAUCAUGCAGCAAUAGAAGUGAAAACAGCUCAGAAAUAAAGCUAGACAUAUCAAGAACACCAGCCAUUGACAGCCCAUUAUCCAAUCAUCAUCCAAAUAUUUCUAGUAGACCUUUUUUUCCACCUUCAAUGAUAAGGUCUAAUAAUAAUAAUAAUGGGGUUGUGGUACCUCAUCAACUCUUUCACAUCAAUUCAUCAUCAUCAAGACAAGAUCUCAAAUUAAUGGACCAAAAUACUACUAAUAAUAAUAGUAGUAGUGUCAAAGAAGAAAGCCUAUCCAACAUGUUUUGUGGAAUUGAUGAUCAAACAAGUUUUUGGCCAUGGCUAGAGCAACAACAUUUUAAUUAGUUGAAACUUUUUUGGAGACCAAAAAGUUUUUACUUUUUUUUAAAAAAAAGUUGUUGAGUUGAAGGAGCCUUUUAAAUUAUAUCAUAUGAUCAAUCAUAUUACUUCUUUUGAGUUCAUGAGAG
rnacentral:misc_RNA from 1 species